rnacentral:rRNA from 1 species
AGUGAACGCUGGCGGUAGGCCUAACACAUGCAAGUCGAACGGCAGCACAGUAAGAGCUUGCUCUUACGGGUGGCGAGUGGCGGACGGGUGAGGAAUACAUCGGAAUACACUCUUUCGUGGGGGAUAACGUAGGGAAACUUAUUCUAAUACCGCAUACGACCUACGGGUGAAAGCAGGGGAUCUUCGGACCUUGCGGGAUUGAAUGAGCCGAUGUCGGAUUAGCUAGUUGGCGGGGCAGAGGCCAACAAAGGCGACGAUCCGUAGCUGGUCUGAGAGGAUGAUUAGCCACACGGGAACUGAGGCACGGUCCAGACUCCUACAGGAGGCAGCGGUGGGGAAUAUUGGGCAAUGGGCGCGAGGCUGAUCCAGCCAUACCGGGUAGGUCAAGAAGGCCUUCGGGUUGUAAAGCCCUGUUGUUGUGAGAGAAGAACAGCAGGUUAAUACCCCGCUGUUAUGACAGUACCCAAAGAAUAAGCUCCGGCUAACUUCGUG